GAUGAACGCUGGCGGCGUGCCUAAUACAUGCCAGUCGAGCGAACAGACGAGGAGCUUGCUCCUCUGACGUUAGCGGCGGACGGGUGAGUAACACGUGGAUAACCUACCUAUAAGACUGGGAUAACUUCGGGAAACCGGAGCUAAUACCGGAUAACAUGUUGAACCGCAUGGUUCAACAGUGAAAGACGGUCUUGCUGUCACUUAUAGAUGGAUCCGCGCCGCAUUAGCUAGUUGGUAAGGUAACGGCUUACCAAGGCAACGAUGCGUAGCCGACCUGAGAGGGUGAUCGGCCACACUGGAACUGAGACACGGUCCAGACUCCUACGGGAGGCGGCAGUAGGGAAUCUUCCGCAAUGGGCGAAAGCCUGACGGAGCAACGCCGCGUGAGUGAUGAAGGUCUUCGGAUCGUAAAACUCUGUUAUUAGGGAAGAACAAAUGUGUAAGUAACUAUGCACGUCUUGACGGUACCUAAUCAGAAAGCCACGGCUAACUACGUG
rnacentral:rRNA from 1 species